GACGAACCGUGCGAACGUUGUUCGGAAUCACUGGGCUUAAAGGGCGCGUAGGCGGGCUGUCGCGUCUGGGGUGAAAUCCUCCGGCUCAACCGGGGAAGGGCCUCGGGUACGGACGGCCUCGAGGGGGGUAGGGGCGUGCGGAACUGUGGGUGGAGCGGUGAAAUGCGUAGAUAUCAUUUGGAACGCCAAUGGUGAAAACAGCUCGCUGGGGGUGUGCUGACGCUGAGACACGAAAGCCAGGGGAGCAAACGGG
rnacentral:rRNA from 1 species